rnacentral:rRNA from 1 species
UACAGAGGUCUCAAGCGUUGUUCGGAUUCAUUGGGCGUAAAGGGUGCGUAGGCGGCGCGGUAAGUCGGGUGUGAAAUCUCGGAGCUUAACUCCGAAACUGCAUUCGAUACUGCCGUGCUUGAGGACUGGAGAGGAGACUGGAAUUUACGGUGUAGCAGUGAAAUGCGUAGAUAUCGUAAGGAAGGCCAGUGGCGAAGGCGAAUCUCUGGACAGUUACUGACGCUGAGACGCGAAAGCGUGGGGAGCAAACAGG